rnacentral:rRNA from 1 species
UACAGAGGCCCCAAGCAUUAUCCGGAAUCACUGGGCGUAAAGGGUGUCAAGGCGGUCAUGUUAGUCGUUCGUAAAAUCCGUGGGCUCAACCUACGGCUCGCGAGCGAAACGGCAUGACUUGAGGUUGGAAGAGGUGCGUGGAACUCACGGUGUAGGGGUGAAAUGCGCAGAUAUCGGGAGGAACACCAGUAGCGAAGGCGGCUCGCUGGGCCAUUCCUGACGCUGAGACGCGAAAGCUAGGGGAGCGAACAGG